GUGCUCGCUUCAGCAGCACAUACGCUAUGAUCAGAGCAGUACAGAAAAGAUUAGCAUGGCCCCUGCACAAGGAUGACACACAAAUUCGUGAAGUGUUCUAUAUUUUU
rnacentral:snRNA from 1 species